GAGUUUCCCAGCAAAAAUGCGCAGCGCCUGCGUGAGGAAAUCAGUUCGGUGGACUGAUUCCCGAUCUCGCUUCGAUGUGUCGAAAAAUGCGACAAAACAAAUAGUUAGAUGGGGCCGACGAUUCUGUUAAAACAGCAACCGCUCUAUACUUCAGCCGUUCAGGCUUCCUCGCCGAACCUGUCGGCGAUAAGCGUCUGGAGCGCG
rnacentral:misc_RNA from 1 species